AGAGGCAAAAGCAUUACUUAGGAAAACAAAGCAACCUGUUGAACUUCAAAGCCUUAAUGUUCGUGUGUCUGCUAUUGGUUCUUGUAUUGAUUUUACACUUAGUCACAAGGGAGGUAUUCGUUUAAUAGUGCGCUAUUGAUUUACUAUAUCACACCGUGACUGAAUGAUUUAUUUCUCUUUGCUGGAGAUUCAUUGAUUACAAUUCACAUGAUGAAAAGCAGUUUACGGGGUUGAUGGGGGAUGUGUAGGAUCAGGGAAUCCACUAAGGUCUAAUGGAGGUCAAUGCCUACUGCUCUCUCUCUCUGUCAGUCAAAAUCACUCCCUCUGUGUCAAUGAUUACCAUUUGUUUGAAAGGUCCACACAGGUCUACAAGUUUUACAAAAAGUCCUACAAAACCGACAUUGUUCAACUUGCUAGUAAAACGGGCCUUCAACAUAUCAGAGCUGGAAGUUAACAUUAGCAGUUUGUUAAGACUGGUAAAGAACAGUUAUUCUACUGUUAACACAUAGGCUACUGCAUCCUCAAAGUGCAUUCUUAGUGAGUUUGGUUUCUUUUUCAGAAUCAAUUCAAUUUAAAUACCAAACUAUAUUCAUUAUGCACGAAUGCAUAGCUCUUCAAGGUCUACAGCACAUUCUUUUGUUAUCGUGGACAAAACACUGCAUCAAAAUAUUCUCACAGACCAUGUUUCAUACUGAAUGUACCGUGCCACAAUGUAACAAAUUAACAAACAUAAAAUGUGACCAGUUUAGACUGAUCCAUAUGUUUAAUAAAGAGGUGUAAUAAGUACCUGAAAAGCAUACUUGAGUAAAAGUACACAUACCUUACAGCAAUUAGAAAGCCAUGGACGUCAUUAUUUUUUCUCCCGACCUUAUUGAAUAAGCAUUUAUAGGAUUUUCCAUUUCAGACACAAUUUAUGGGAGGAGAAUAUUAAAAAGAACCAUGCAAUGCAUUUUACUAACAUUUGCGCUCAUCAAAUUACUGGUAUACGCGCCAUUAUUUAAUGCCCAAAAAAAGCAUGUCUUAAAAAGCAGGCAGUAAUUUGCGCUGCUCUUGGUAAAUUGCGCUGGUAUUUAUGAAAAUGAUCUGGCUGCGUCUGUUCUUUAAUGUGUGCAUUUUUAGUAAGUCACACACAGAAUUUUCCGCUCCCAUUGGCGCUUUUAUGGAAUUGUGCUCUUACGCUAAUUUGCCCCGUUUAGUAAAUCUGGCCCAUAAUGUGUACUUACAGAUAGAAAAUCACUAUAGAGUUUUGUUGUAUUGAAAAGUCUUUUGAUCAUCAGAACAAUCACUAAAUUGUUGAUUAAUAUUUGUUGAUGAAAAUUAAAAGUAUAUAGGAUCAAUUAUUGUGGGUUACUAAAAGAAUCAGUGACUGAGAUCACAAUCUGAACCAGAUUUGUUACAUACUAUUCAUAUCCCCAAUCCUUGUAUGACUCUAGUCCACAGAGUCCCAGACUGUAGCACUAACCAUAUUUACAGCGUACCGCUGAUUCUAUCAUAUGAGCUUGGGUUUUCUGUCAUAUUAAUUGAAAGUUGUCUGUCAUGACUGCUUACAAUCAAACCUACAAGACAUUAUAGAGAGACUCAUUCAGAAAAACACACUGAAAACAAAGCCAUUAAGAACUCUCAUUCACUCUCCUAACGUCUUGGAAUUUGGAUGCCAUUCAAAUUUGGAAGCAAAAAGCCAUUUGUCUGAGAAGCUUCCUCCUCCACAUAAUGUAAUUAGAUUGAACAUUUGCCAAGGAGUAAUAUUUUAAGAAUGGAGGGGAUGUGGGCAUGCUGAAUGGCAAGCUUUUUGCUGAAGCUCACCUUAUGAAUAUAAACACCUCACUUCCCGUCACAAUGACGUAAUCAGGCAACCCGUUUCAAGCUCGUCUGGAAUAACCUGACUCUCUCAAGGACACAGAACUUUCAGGAUCCAUACAGAUAAACAGAUUAGCUCUAUGUCCACCACUCUGUAUGUACAAAAUGGCUUGGAAACUACUGUCAUGCCAGUAGUCAUUUAGAAGAUGCUUUUAUCCAAAGUGACAUAUAGUGCAAUUAUUACAAGGACAAUCCCACAGGAGCAACCUGAGGUUAAAGGAGAAGGCACCGAUAUACGUCAAGCAAAGUCUCCAACAAACUUUUUUGGAAUUUGUUUUAGUGGUUUACUUUCCAAAAAACCUAGCGCUGACUGUGAAGCACCUUUGAACUAUCAUUGGUCCAUGAGAACUACAUCAUGCUGUGGCACUUCAACUUUUUGGGAAAGCUUGCGGUCGAUUUAUUAGGCGAUGAGAAGUCUCCUGGGCCCUCCACUGUAACUGGAUUAAAGUGAACACUCAGUGCUCCUAAUCACAUUUGGAAGCUCGCUCUACGUCUGCUCCUGGCUCCGUCGCCCUUCCUUUUUUUUUUUUUUUUUAGUUUUUUCCAGCAGUGCUUUGAAAAGCGAGACCCUACAGUGAUUCACUCACCUCCUAAUAUCAGACUGGACUCCACCGUUCACCAUGUGUGAAACCUAGUGUGCUGCCUGCCUAGACAACAUCUUAAAGGGGGUUUCUGCUCACCCUCACGUCAACCCGAACCUGCAUGACUUUCUUUCUUCUGCAGAACACAUAAGCCCAUGCUUG